GGCAAUUUUGUGAGACAACGAGAGUCUCUCGGGUGUGCGCGUGAUCAAGUUUUUGUGAGGAACCUGCAUGAUCUUGCGCAUGAAGUAAAUAUUUUUGGACAGUUUCUUCUCUGGACGGCGUUACAAGUACAGGCAAGCGGGUAUCAACGGUUGUUAUUGCUGUACUUUGUGGUGUUGUGAUUCACCAGUGCGGAUCGAAGAGCACCGUUUUCUCCAGCCCGGAUUCUACAAUUUGGAGAUGGUGUACAAGGCGAUGUGCAAGUGCAUUUCACACCUUGGGGAGCUGCAAGAUAUGCUUUCACAAUCCUUGCUGCAAGUGUUCAAAUAAAGGGUUUCAAGUUUCA
rnacentral:lncRNA from 1 species